GGUGCCGGUGCUGGUGCCGGUGCUGGUGCUGGCGCUGGCGCUGGUGGUUUCGGGGGUGGUUCUUUGGGUUUCUCAGGUUCCUUGGGCUUUUCGGGUUUCUUCUCUGGUUCUUUAGGCUUUUCAGGUUUCUUCUCUGGUUCCUUGGGCUUUUCGGGUUUCUUCACUGGUUCUUUAGGCUUUUCAGGUUUCUUCUCAGGAUCCUUGGGUUUUGGAGGUGGUUGUGGUGGUGGUUUGAUCUCAAUGCUCUUGAUGGAUCCGCCACCCUUGCAGCAUAUCUUGUCCCUGAUCUUUUCUGGACUGCAGCAU
rnacentral:lncRNA from 1 species